rnacentral:rRNA from 1 species
GAUGAACGCUGACAGAAUGCUUAACACAUGCAAGUCGACUUGAACUUCGGUUUGGGUGGCGGACGGGUGAGUAACGCGUAAAGAACUUGCCUCACAGAUAGGUACAACAUUUGGAAACGAAUGCUAAUACCUGAUAUUAUGAUUUUAGGGCAUCCUAGGAUCAUGAAAGCUAUAUGCGCUGUGAGAGGGCUUUGCGUCCCAUUAGCUAGUUGGAGAGGUAACGGCUCACAAAGGCGAUGAUGGGUAGCCGGCCUGAGAGGGUGAUCGGCAAAAAGGGAACUGAGACACGGCCCUAACUCCUACGGGAGGAAGCGGUGGGGAAUAUUGGAAAAUGGACCAAGAGUCUUAUACAGAAAUUCCGUGUGGAAGAUGAAGUUUUUCGGAAUGUAAAGUGCUUUCAGUUGGGAAGAAAAAAAUGACGGUACCAACAGAAGAAGUGACGGCUAAAUACGUG